rnacentral:rRNA from 1 species
AUUGAACGCUGGCGGCAGGCCUAACACAUGCAAGUCGAGCGAGCGGCGGACGGGUGAGUAAUGUCUGGGAAUCUGCCCGAUAGAGGGGGAUAACUACUGGAAACGGUGGCUAAUACCGCAUACUAUCGGAUGUACCCAUAUGGGAUUAGCUAGUAGGUGGGGUAAAGGCUCACCUAGGCGACGAUCCCUAGCUGGUCUGAGAGGAUGAUCAGCCACACUGGGACUGAGACACGGCCCAGACUCCUACGGGAGGCAGCAGUGGGGAAUAUUGCACAAUGGGCGCAAGCCUGAUGCAGCCAUGCCGCGUGUAUGAAGAAGGCCUUAGGGUUGUAAAGUACUUUCAGUGGGGAGGCGUUACCGACAGAAGAAGCACCGGCUAACUCCGUGCCAGCAGCCGCGGUAAUAC